CGAACUCUGGUAUUGAUUGGUGCUUGCAUCAUGAUUUACAUUUGACUGAGUGGCGAACUGGUGAGUAACACGUGGGAAACCUGCCCAGAAGCGGGGGAUAACACCUGGAAACAGAUGCUAAUACCGCAUAACAACUUGGACCGCAUGGUCCGAGUUUGAAAGAUGGCUUCGGCUAUCACUUUUGGAUGGUCCCGCGGCGUAUUAGCUAGAUGGUGGGGUAACGGCUCACCAUGGCAAUGAUACGUAGCCGACCUGAGAGGGUAAUCGGCCACAUUGGGACUGAGACACGGCCCAAACUCCUACGGGAGGCAGCAGUAGGGAAUCUUCCACAAUGGACGAAAGUCUGAUGGAGCAACGCCGCGUGAGUGAAGAAGGGUUUCGGCUCGUAAAACUCUGUUGUUAAAGAAGAACAUAUCUGAGAGUAACUGUUCAGGUAUUGACGGUAUUUAACCAGAAAGCCACGGCUAACUACGUGCCAGCAGCCGCGGUAAUACGUAGGUGGCAAGCGUUGUCCGGAUUUAUUGGGCGUAAAGCGAGCGCAGGCGGUUUUUUAAGUCUGAUGUGAAAGCCUUCGGCUCAACCGAAGAAGUGCAUCGGAAACUGGGAAACUUGAGUGCAGAAGAGGACAGUGGAACUCCAUGUGUAGCGGUGAAAUGCGUAGAUAUAUGGAAGAACACCAGUGGCGAAGGCGGCUGUCUGGUCUGUAACUGACGCUGAGGCUCGAAAGUAUGGGUAGCAAACAGGAUUAGAUACCCUGGUAGUCCAUACCGUAAACGAUGAAUGCUAAGUGUUGGAGGGUUUCCGCCCUUCAGUGCUGCAGCUAACGCAUUAAGCAUUCCGCCUGGGGAGUACGGCCGCAAGGCUGAAACUCAAAGGAAUUGACGGGGGCCCGCACAAGCGGUGGAGCAUGUGGUUUAAUUCGAAGCUACGCGAAGAACCUUACCAGGUCUUGACAUACUAUGCAAAUCUAAGAGAUUAGACGUUCCCUUCGGGGACAUGGAUACAGGUGGUGCAUGGUUGUCGUCAGCUCGUGUCGUGAGAUGUUGGGUUAAGUCCCGCAACGAGCGCAACCCUUAUUAUCAGUUGCCAGCAUUAAGUUGGGCACUCUGGUGAGACUGCCGGUGACAAACCGGAGGAAGGUGGGGAUGACGUCAAAUCAUCAUGCCCCUUAUGACCUGGGCUACACACGUGCUACAAUGGAUGGUACAACGAGUUGCGAACUCGCGAGAGUAAGCUAAUCUCUUAAAGCCAUUCUCAGUUCGGAUUGUAGGCUGCAACUCGCCUACAUGAAGUCGGAAUCGCUAGUAAUCGCGGAUCAGCAUGCCGCGGUGAAUACGUUCCCGGGCCUUGUACACACCGCCCGUCACACCAUGAGAGUUUGUAACACCCAAAGUCGGUGGG
rnacentral:rRNA from 2 species